rnacentral:lncRNA from 1 species
CUCUGCUUUGUAACAGGGUGACUUUGGGACUGUCAUCUACUCUCCUGAGGGUCUGCCAACACCUGAGGAUGCAGAGGCCUUCUUUGAAGUAAGUGAUGGCUGCUUGUCUUUUGGGACCAGGGAAACCCCAUAAUGGCAUUUGUACCAUACUCUCUCACACUCUUUUCUGAUGAUCUUCCCACCUAGAAUGUUCUCAUCCUCCUUCUCCUUCCUGUCUGC